UACGGAGGGUGCAAGCGUCAUCCGGAUUCACUGGGUUUAAAGGGUGCGUAGGUGGGUUGGUAAGUCAGUGGUGAAAUCCCCGAGCUUAACUCGGGAACUGCCAUUGAUACUAUUAAUCUUGAAUACCGUGGAGGUCAGCGGAAUAUGUCAUGUAGCGGUGAAAUGCUUAGAUAUGACAUAGAACACCAAUUGCGAAGGCAGCUGGCUACACGAAUAUUGACACUGAGGCACGAAAGCGUGGGGAUCAAACAGG
rnacentral:rRNA from 1 species